rnacentral:rRNA from 1 species
GAUGAACGCUGGCGGCGUGCCUAAUACAUGCAAGUCGAGCGAACAGACGAGAGUGCUUGCACUCUCUGACGUUAGCGGCGGACGGGUGAGUAACACGUGGGUAACCUACCUAUAAGACUGGGAUAACUUCGGGAAACCGGAGCUAAUACCGGAUAAUAUUUAGCUUCGCAUGAAGCAAUAGUGAAAGGCGGUUCUGCUGUCACUUAUAGAUGGACCCGCGGUGUAUUAGCUAGUUGGUGAGGUAACGGCUCACCAAGGCAACGAUACAUAGCCGACCUGAGAGGGUGAUCGGCCACACUGGGACUGAGACACGGCCCAGACUCCUACGGGAGGCAGCAGUAGGGAAUCUUCCGCAAUGGACGAAAGUCUGACGGAGCAAUGCCGCGUGAGUGAAGAAGGUUUUCGGAUCGUAAAACUCUGUUGUAAGGGAAGAACAAGUACGUUAGUAACUGAACGUACCUUGACGGUACCUUACCAGAAAGCCACGGCUAACUACGUG